rnacentral:rRNA from 1 species
UGAGGAAUAUUGCCCAAUGGGGGAAACCCUGAGGCAGCAACGCCGCGUGAGGGAUGAAGGCCUUCGGGUCGUAAACCUCUUUUCUGAGGGACGAGCAAGGACGGUACCUCAGGAAUAAGUACCGGCUGACUACGUGCCAGCAGCCGCGGUAAAACGUAGGGUGCGAGCGUUAUCCGGAUUUACUGGGCGUAAAGCGCACGCAGGUGGCUUGGCAAGUUGGACGUGAAAGCUCCUGGCUUAACUGGGAGAGGUCGUUCGAGACUGCUGGGCUUGAGGUUGGGAGAGGGGUAUGGAAUUCCCGGUGUAGUGGUGGAAUGCGUAGAUAUCGGGAGGAACACCAGUGGCGAAGGCGGUACCCUGGCCCACACCUGACGCUGAGGUGCGAAAGCGUGGGUAGCAAACAGGAUUAGAUACCCUGGUAGUCCACGCUGUAAACGAUGUCAACUAGGUGUUGGUAGUGUUACACUAUCAGUGCCGAAGCCAACGCGUUAAGUUGACCGCCUGGGGACUACGGCCGCAAGGCUAA